rnacentral:rRNA from 1 species
CCUACGGGUGGCUGCAGUGAGGAAUAUUGGUCAAUGGACGAGAGUCUGAACCAGCCAAGUAGCGUGAAGGAUGACUGCCCUAUGGGUUGUAAACUUCUUUUAUAUGGGAAUAAAAUGCUGUAUGUAUACCGUUUUGUAUGUACCAUAUGAAUAAGGAUCGGCUAACUCCGUGCCAGCAGCCGCGGUAAUACGGAGGAUCCGAGCGUUAUCCGGAUUUAUUGGGUUUAAAGGGAGCGUAGGUGGGUUGUUAAGUCAGUUGUGAAAGUUUGCGGCUCAACCGUAAAAUUGCAGUUGAAACUGGCAGUCUUGAGUACAGUAGAGGUAGGCGGAAUUCGUGGUGUAGCGGUGAAAUGCUUAGAUAUCACGAAGAACUCCGAUUGCGAAGGCAGCUCACUGGACUGUAACUGACACUGAUGCUCGAAAGUGUGGGUAUCAAACAGGAUUAGAUACCCGGGUAGUC